rnacentral:rRNA from 1 species
GGCAGCAGUGGGGAAUAUUGGACAAUNGGGCGCAAGCCUGAUCNCAGCCAUGCCNGCGUGUGUGAAGAAGGCUUUNCGGGUUGUAAAGCACUUUCAGUGAGGAAGAACGCCUUGGGGCCAAUACCCCCGAGGAAGGACAUCACUCACAGAAGAAGCACCGGCUAACUCCGUGCCAGCAGCCGCGGUAAUACGGAGGGUGCGAGCGUUAAUCGGAAUUACUGGGCGUAAAGCGCGCGUAGGCGGCGUGAUAAGCCGGUUGUGAAAGCCCCGGGCUCAACCUGGGAACGGCAUCCGGAACUGUCAGGCUAGAGUGCAGGAGAGGAAGGUAGAAUUCCCGGUGUAGCGGUGAAAUGCGUAGAGAUCGGGAGGAAUACCAGUGGCGAAGGCGGCCUUCUGGACUGACACUGACGCUGAGGUGCGAAAGCGUGGGUAGCAAACAGGAUUAGAUACCCUGGUAGUCCACGCCGUAAACGAUGUCGACUAGCCGUUGGGGUCCUAGAGACCUUUGUGGCGCAGUUAACGCGAUAAGUCGACCGCCUGGGGAGUACGGCCGCAAGGUUAAAACUCAAAUGAAUUGACGGGGGCCCGCACAAGCGGUGGAGCAUGUGGUUUAAUUCGAUGCAACGCGAAGAACCUUACCUACCCUUGACAUCGUGCGAACUUGGUAGAGAUACCUUGGUGCCUUCGGGAACGCAUAGACAGGUGCUGCAUGGCUGUCGUCAGCUCGUGUUGUGAAAUGUUGNGGUUAAGUNCCCGUAACGANGCGCAACCCUUGNUCCCUAUUUGCCAGNCGGGUAAUGCCNGGGAAC